GAUGAAGAACGCAGUGAAAUGCGAUAACUAGUGUGAAUUGCAGAAUUCCGUGAAUCAUCGAGUCUUUGAACGCACAUUGCGCCCCCUGGUAUUCCGGGGGGCAUGCCUGUCCGAGCGUCAUUGCUGCCCAUCAAGCACGGCUUGUGUGUUGGGUCGUCGUCCCCCCCUCCGGGGGGGGACGGGCCCUAAAGGCAGCGGCGGCACCGCGUCCGAUCCUCGAGCGUAUGGGGCUUUGUCACCCGCUCUGUAGGCCCGGCCGGCGCUUGCCGAACGCAAAACAACCAUUCUUUCCAGGUUGACCUCGGAUCAGGUAGGGAUACCCGCUGAACUUAAGCAUAUCAAUAAGCGGAGGA
rnacentral:misc_RNA from 1 species